AGUGACAGUUGGCUGUGGUUCAAACAAUUCUCAUCUUAGUUCAGUUUCUCUGCAAAACAACUUGAACCCAGGGAGAGACAGGGACAGGCAGGGAACGCCGUAUUAUUCUCGCGUAUAGAUUAUAUGUAUAAAUAAAGUCCAGUCAAUACGAAGAUAUAGUACCCAGUAGUAUGAAAGAUGUUAUCAUGCAACCUCUGACCUCCAGCGCCGUGCUCUCCGUUCAAUUGUGAUUUUUGUCAAGCCGCCCCAUGUCAUAUAUAUUCAGCUCAGAAGGAGAGCUGCUCAAAAAUACCAAUGAUGACGGCUAUCUCAAAUCAAGAGUGAAAAAGGAAAGAAGAAAAGAAACAAACAGCUUCACCACGUAUAUUACAUGAAGACAGGUCGUUCUCCUAGAAGAAAAGUGAAAGGGCCAUUGCAAAUCGAGACGUAACUAAAGGGAAAAUAGAAAGGUUCGUAUAGUAUAGUGACCGCUCAGCGAUGUGUGUAUAGAUAUACUAUAUGCAACUUACGGAUUUAUAAAUCAUGUCAUAGACGAAACCCCUGAUACUACAAAAUUGCUCCUUUUCACAACUUCGAGCUUGCGCCCAGGGCAGUUCUUCUGAGUUGCUUGGUAGACAUAUCCAGGUUUUCCGCAGACGACUCCUCUGCUGCGG
rnacentral:sRNA from 2 species